rnacentral:pre_miRNA from 1 species
AGGAGGAACAGCCCCAGUGGCGGGGCAGCUCUGGAAACCUGGAUUCAGCUCAGGCAGGAACUCUGUCUGCAGGGCCUGGAGGCUCCGGGGCGGG